UACGAAGGGGGCUAGCGUUGCUCGGAAUCACUGGGCGUAAAGCGCACGUAGGCGGAUUGUUAAGUCAGGGGUGAAAGCCCGGGGCUCAACUCCGGAACUGCCUUUAAAACUGCAUCGCUUGAAUCCAGGAGAGGUGAGUGGAAUUCCGAGUGUAGAGGUGAAAUUCGUAGAUAUUCGGAAGAACACCAGUGGCGAAGGCGGCUCACUGGACUGGUAUUGACGCUGAGGUGCGAAAGCGUGGGGAGCAAACAGG
rnacentral:rRNA from 1 species